rnacentral:misc_RNA from 1 species
GAGACAAGCAUAUGACUACUGGCAGGAUCAACCAGGUAGCAUUCCUCAUCGACGCCGAUCUCCGCAUGAGCCGAGCCAAAACACUCUGCCAUGACGGGAACRGACGUCGUCCGCAUGAAGCGUUGAACGCUUUUUGAUUUCGGGGCAAAUAGAGGUCGGGGACCUCGUACCGCAUAGAUAUUCCGCAUCCGAGAGAACGAGCGCUGCGACGUGGGCCAACGAGUACGAGUGCUGAGUGCGCACGAAUCGUGGAUCACAUCGAGUGCUUCGGUGUCCACCCCGCACCGCAUCCCCAAAGGGCGCAGCACAAGGAGGAAAAGAGACAUCGGGACAACAUCAUUGCCUUCUCGAUAGGUAUACAACACAGGAAACCGACGUCGGCCAAGGCAAUCAGCAACUUGAGCCAACAAUUGAAGAGGCGUGCACGAGAUGCCGUCGCUGCCCGAGCAGGGAACCGACAUGCCCAUACUAGCCAAUCACCACUCACGCGCUC